UACGUAGGGUGCAAGCGUUGUCCGGAAUUAUUGGGCGUAAAGAGCUCGUAGGCGGUCUGUCGCGUCUGCUGUGAAAACUCGGGGCUUAACCCCGGGCCUGCAGUGGGUACGGGCAGACUAGAGUGCGGUAGGGGAGACUGGAAUUCCUGGUGUAGCGGUGAAAUGCGCAGAUAUCAGGAGGAACACCGGUGGCGAAGGCGGGUCUCUGGGCAGUAACUGACGCUGAGACGCGAAAGCGUGGGGAGCAAACAGG
rnacentral:rRNA from 1 species